rnacentral:rRNA from 1 species
GAUGAACGCUGGCGGCGUGCCUAAUACAUGCGAGUCGAGCGAACGGACGAGAAGCUUGCUUCUCUGAUGUUAGCGGCGGACGGGUGAGUAACACGUGGAUAACCUACCUAUAAGACUGGGAUAACUUCGGGAAACCGGAGCUAAUACCGGAUGAUAUUUUGAACCGCAUGGUUCAAAAGUGAAAGACGGUCUUGCUGUCACUUAUAGAUGGAUCCGCGCUGCAUUAGCUAGUUGGUAAGGUAACGGCUUACCAAGGCAACGAUGCAUAGCCGACCUGAGAGGGUGAUCGGCCACACUGGAACUGAGACACGGUCCAGACUCCUACGGGAGGCAGCAGUAGGGAAUCUUCCGCAAUGGGCGAAAGCCUGACGGAGCAACGCCGCGUGAGUGAUGAAGGUCUUCGGAUCGUAAAACUCUGUUAUUAGGGAAGAACAUAUGUGUAAGUAACUGUGCACAUCUUGACGGAACCUAAUCAGAAAGCCACGGCUAACUACGUG